rnacentral:rRNA from 1 species
GACGAACGCUGGCGGCGUGCCUAAUACAUGCAAGUUGAGCGCUGAAGGUUGGUACUUGUACCAACUGGAUGAGCAGCGAACGGGUGAGUAACGCGUGGGGAAUCUGCCUUUGAGCGGGGGACAACAUUUGGAAACGAAUGCUAAUACCGCAUAAAAACUUUAAACACAAGUUUUAAGUUUGAAAGAUGCAAUUGCAUCACUCAAAGAUGAUCCCGCGUUGUAUUAGCUAGUUGGUGAGGUAAAGGCUCACCAAGGCGAUGAUACAUAGCCGACCUGAGAGGGUGAUCGACCACAUUGGGACUGAGACACGGCCCAAACUCCUACGGGAGGCAGCAGUAGGGAAUCUUCGGCAAUGGACGAAAGUCUGACCGAGCAACGCCGCGUGAGUGAAGAAGGUUUUCGGAUCGUAAAACUCUGUUGGUAGAGAAGAACGUUGGUGAGAGUGGAAAGCUCAUCAAGUGACGGUAACUACCCAGAAAGGGACGGCUAACUACGU